GAUGAACGCUGGCGGCGUGCCUAAUACAUGCAAGUCGAGCGAACGGACGAGAAGCUUGCUUUUCUGAUGUUAGCGGCGGACGGGUGAGUAACACGUGGAUAACCUACCUAUAAGACUGGGAUAACUUCGGGAAACCGGAGCUAAUACCGGAUAAUAUUUUGAACCGCAUGGUUCAAAAGUGAAAGACGGUCUUGCUGUCACUUAUAGAUGGAUCCGCGCUGCAUUAGCUAGUUGGUAAGGUAACGGCUUACCAAGGCAACGAUGCAUAGCCGACCUGAGAGGGUGAUCGGCCACACUGGAACUGAGACACGGUCCAGACUCCUACGGGAGGCAGCAGUAGGGAAUCUUCCGCAAUGGGCGAAAGCCUGACGGAGCAACGCCGCGUGAGUGAUGAAGGUCUUCGGAUCGUAAAACUCUGUUAUUAGGGAAGAACAUAUGUGUAAGUAACUGUGCACAUCUUGACGGUACCUAAUCAGAAAGCCACGGCUAACUACGUGCCAGCAGCCGCGGUAAUACGUAGGUGGCAAGCGUUAUCCGGAAUUAUUGGGCGUAAAGCGCGCGUAGGCGGUUUUUUAAGUCUGAUGUGAAAGCCCACGGCUCAACCGUGGAGGGUCAUUGGAAACUGGAAAACUUGAGUGCAGAAGAGGGAAGUGGAAUUCCAUGUGUAGCGGUGAAAUGCGCAGAGAUGUGGAGGAACACCAGUGGCGAAGGCGACUUUCUGGUCUGUAACUGACGCUGAUGUGCGAAAGCGUGGGGAUCAAACAGGAUUAGAUACCCUGGUAGUCCACGCCGUAAACGAUGAGUGCUAAGUGUUAGGGGGUUUCCGCCCCUUAGUGCUGCAGCUAACGCAUUAAGCACUCCGCCUGGGGAGUACGACCGCAAGGUUGAAACUCAAAGGAAUUGACGGGGGCCCGCACAAGCGGUGGAGCAUGUGGUUUAAUUCGAAGCAACGCGAAGAACCUUACCAAAUCUUGACAUCCUUUGACAACUCUAGAGAUAGAGCCUUCCCCUUCGGGGGACAAAGUGACAGGUGGUGCAUGGUUGUCGUCAGCUCGUGUCGUGAGAUGUUGGGUUAAGUCCCGCAACGAGCGCAACCCUUAAGCUUAGUUGCCAUCAUUAAGUUGGGCACUCUAAGUUGACUGCCGGUGACAAACCGGAGGAAGGUGGGGAUGACGUCAAAUCAUCAUGCCCCUUAUGAUUUGGGCUACACACGUGCUACAAUGGACAAUACAAAGGGCAGCGAAACCGCGAGGUCAAGCAAAUCCCAUAAAGUUGUUCUCAGUUCGGAUUGUAGUCUGCAACUCGACUACAUGAAGCUGGAAUCGCUAGUAAUCGUAGACCAGCAUGCUACGGUGAAUACGUUCCCGGGUCU
rnacentral:rRNA from 1 species